AGAUUGAACGCUGGCGGCAUGCCUAACACAUGCAAGUCGAACGGGAGUAGCAAUACUCUAGUGGCGGACGGGUGAGGAAUACGUAGGAAUCUGCCUGGUAGUGGGGGAUAACGCUCGGAAACGGACGCUAAUACCGCAUACGUCCUACGGGAGAAAGCAGGGGACCUUCGGGCCUUGCGCUAUCAGAUGAGCCUAGGUCGGAUUAGCUAGUUGGUGAGGUAAUGGCUCACCGAAGGCGACGAUCCGUAACUGGUACUGAGAGGAUGAUCAGUCACACUAGGAACUGAA
rnacentral:rRNA from 1 species